rnacentral:sRNA from 1 species
AUUAGCGGCGCGAAUCGCCCUUACUCCUACGGGAGGCAGCAGUGGGGAAUUUUCCGCAAUGGGCGAAAGCCUGACGGAGCAAUACCGCGUGAGGGAGGAAGGCUCUUGGGUCGUAAACCUCUUUUCUCAAGGAGGAAGAAAGUGACGGUACUUGAGGAAUAAGCAUCGGCUAACUCCGUGCCAGCAGCCGCGGUAAUACGGAGGAUGCAAGCGUUAUCCGGAAUGAUUGGGCGUAAAGGGUCUGCAGGUGGAACUGAAAGUCUGCUGUUAAAGAGUUUGGCUUAACCAAAUAAAAGCGGUGGAAACUACAGAACUAGAGUGCGGUAGGGGCAAAAGGAAUUCCUGGUGUAGCGGUGAAAUGCGUAGAUAUCAGGAAGAACACCGGUGGCGAAAGCGUUUUGCUAGACCGUAACUGACACUGAGGGACGAAAGCUAGGGGAGCGAAUGGGAUUAGAUACCCCGGUAGUCCUAGCCGUAAACGAUGGAUACUAGGCGUGGCUUGUAUCGACCCGAGCCGUGCCGGAGCUAACGCGUUAAGUAUCCCGCCUGGGGAGUACGCACGCAAGUGUGAAGCUCAAAGGAAUUGACGGGGGCCCGCACAAGCGGUGGAGUAUGUGGUUUAAUUCGAUGCAACGCGAAGAACCUUACCAAGACUUGACAUCCUGCGAAUCCCGGUGAAAGCUGGGAGUGCCUUAGGGAGCGCAGAGACAGGUGGUGCAUGGCUGUCGUCAGCUCGUGUCGUGAGAUGUUGGGUUAAGUCCCGCAACGAGCGCAACCCUCGUUUUUAGUUGCCAGCAUUAAGUUGGGCACUCUAGAGAGACUGCCGGUGACAAACCGGAGGAAGGUGAGGAUGACGUCAAGUCAGCAUGCCCCUUACGUCUUGGGCUACACACGUACUACAAUGCUACGGACAGAGGGCAGCGAGCCAGGGAUGGCAAGCGAAUCCAGAAACCGUAGCUCAGUUCAGAUCGAAGGCUGCAACUCGCCUUCGUGAAGGAGGAAUCGCUAGUAAUUGCAGGUCAGCAUACUGCAGUGAAUUCGUUCCCGGGCCUUGUACACACCGCCCGUCACACCAUGGAAGUUGGUCACGCCCGAAGUCAUUACCCCAACCGAAAGGAGGGGGAUGCCUAAGGUAGGACUGGUGACUGGGGUGAAGUCGUAACAAGGUAGCCGUACCGGAAGGUGUGGCUGGAUCACCUCCUUUUAGGGAGACCUACCCAUUGAGGAAUCGAAAGCGGAGAGCGAAUAGAGAAUCAAGUGGUCUACUCUAGGUCGGUGACGUGAGAUUGUGAAGUCUUUCAAACUAAUAUUUGGUUCGCGAGAGGGCUAUUAGCUCAGGUGGUUAGAGCGCACCCCUGAUAAGGGUGAGGUCCCUGGUUCGAGUCCAGGAUGGCCCACCUGGGGGUUUAGCUCAGCUGGUAGAGCGCCUGCUUUGCAAGCAGGAUGUCAGCGGUUCGAGUCCGCUAACCUCCACAUUAGGUAUCUUCAGCAACUAAGAAAGACCUAGACUGCUGGUGAUGAACCAGCCAGAACCUUGAAAACUGCAUAUAGAAAGAUAAGAGUAAAGAGUAAGUGGUCAAGCUAAUAAGGGCUCAUGGUGGAUACCUWGGCACACAGAGGCGADG